UACGUAGGGUCCGAGCGUUGUCCGGAUUUAUUGGGCGUAAAGAGCUCGUAGGCGGUUCAGUAAGUCAGAUGUGAAAACUCAGGGCUCAACCCGGAGACGCCAUCUGAUACUGCUGUGACUUGAGUCUGGUAGGGGAUCACGGAAUUCCUGGUGUAGCGGUGAAAUGCGCAGAUAUCAGGAGGAACACCGAUGGCGAAGGCAGUGAUCUGGGCCAGUACUGACGCUGAGGAGCGAAAGCGUGGGUAGCAAACAGG
rnacentral:rRNA from 1 species